rnacentral:rRNA from 1 species
UACGAAGGGGGGCUAGCGUUGUUCGGAAUUACUGGGCGUAAAGCGUGCGCAGGCGGCUUCUCAAGUCAGGGGUGAAAGCCCAGAGCUCAACUCUGGAAUUGCCUUUAAGACUGCAUCGCUUGAAUCCGGGAGAGGUGAGUGGAAUUCCGAGUGUAGAGGUGAAAUUCGUAGAUAUUCGGAAGAACACCAGUGGCGAAGGCGGCUCACUGGACCGGUAUUGACGCUGAGGUGCGAAAGCGUGGGGAGC